UUUUGAUAUGAUUUUGUUUCUCUGUAUGCGGCUAGGGUGCUACUUGGGUGCUCUAGAAAUACUCUUAGCUGGUAAUGCUUUUGGACAAUAUUUUCAAGUGUGAUUCCUAAUUUUGGGUACCUAGCUUGGUGUGCUUUAAAGGGGCUGAUUUUCAGAAGGUGGGUGCUUAUCACUUUGGGGGAAAUAAAGUGUAUUUAGGAUGCCUAAAUUUGGGUAGAAAAUGACUAGUCUUUUUUAAAAAUCGUGCCCUGGAUUUGCAGAAGUCAUUUUUAUGGCUAGGGCUGACAAUAACUCUUGUUAUGCCUUGAGGUAAGAAGUCUUAUUUUAUCUGGACACUCUCAAUCUUUUUAUCUAAUUUACAGAAUUCCCCCUUGUUUCCUCUGAAAUGAGAGCAGAAAAUAAUAUAUUAGCACAGUCUCUGCUUAUUCACUUCAAAACUUUACGUAGGUGGCUAUGUACUCUUCUUUGCUAAUUAGGAACCUGUUAGACAGGAGACAUGACCUGGCUGAAGUCUCAAAAGCCAGCUGCAGAGUUGGGAAUAGAACUCAGGAAUUCUGCCUGCACUCUACCAGACCAAGUGUAAAAUUUCAAAGUGCCUAAAUUUCAUUUUCAAAGGUGACUUAUUUUAGCAAAUUGGAAUUUAGGCACUUUGAAAAUUUUACCCUGAUUCUGGAUUGGUAGCUUCUAUUGCUGGUUCUCACAGCUGGCUCUUGCCUUGUGACUGGGCAAGUCACUUUCCCUCUCUGUAGCCAAGUUUUCCCCUUUGUAAAGUGGAGAUAACAAUACUUAAUUUCCUCAAUAGAGAUGCUUUGAUAUCGAUGGAUGGUGUAAGGAGGAAUACUAUAGUAUCUAAUUACUGGAUAGGUUUUUGGGACCGUGCCAGGCAACUGAGAAAUCCCAAGGAAGUGGCGUAGUUGCUGAGCUGACCGGACUUUCUUCCAUGUGUCUGAUGUUGAAUGACUUUUCCUAUUGCAACCGACAGAUGGCAGUAGGGAAUGCUCCCAAAGAACAAAGAUGGAAUACAGAGCUGCUACUGGAAGAGCUGGGAUAGAGGCACAGAUGUUACGUCUCUGCAAUUUAUCCAUCAGCCACUAAACUCUGAUUUUACUAGCCUGAGAGAAAGGGCCCAAGAAACACUUAGGGACUCAAAGCUAGAGAAGCAUGUGUCAGGCUUUAAUUGCAUGGCUCAGGGAAACAGUUCUACCUGAGAAAUAAUACAAUAUUGUGUCUCUCUGGAUGGCAGGUGAGAUGUCCCUGUACACUUCCAUUCUUCUCAUUCUGUGGCUAUAUUUGUAUAUGUGUGUCGUGAGCAGAUGACAUAUGCAAGCUCAUGAAUUGCAAGACUUAAACAUCCUUUGGUGCGGCUGGAAAUAAGUAGUUGUGCUUUACCACUAAGGAUCAGGAAGAAAAGAGUUUUCACCUUGUGGUCUGAAGAAUGAGGAUUAACAACCCAUGCAUUUUUGUCCCUCCCACUGUCACUGCAGCUUAAGAACAUAAGAGCGGCCAGACCAAAGGUCCAUCUAGCCCAGUAUCCUGUCUUCUGACAGUGGCUGAUGCCAGGUGCCCCAGAGGGAAUGAACAGAACAGUUUGAAACUAUUUGUUUGCAACGCAGAAGCGUGCUUUGUGAUGUCUAAGAGAACGUAUAAGAGCGGAGCUAGUAACCGAAAGGCAGCAAAAGAUGCCGAGAAGGAACUUGAGAAAAUUCCAAAGUUGUCAACAUAUUUUGCGCUGCAAUCUAACGUACAGGUGCAGGCACAUGAAACGGACAGCACUAGCAGCGACUAAUCGUAUCCAGAAGUGCUUCAAGUGAGGUCGAAGGUGAAGCCAGUUGUUCUACCCUACUAACUGUGACAGAUAUUCCAGCUGCUGCCGGGAAAGAAGUAUCUGAAUCACUGACUGAUGAUCCAGGAGAUUGGCCAUCUAUAAUAUCGGACAGGCAAGUAUGUGACAUUGUUGCACGUGGCCCACCGCAGCAGAAUGAAA